rnacentral:sRNA from 1 species
AACUUCGGAGAACUGGAUAGUCUGUUUACCGC